GCAAGUCGAACGAUGAAGCUGGAGCUUGCUCCGGUGGAUUAGUGGCGCACUGGUGAGUAACACGUGAGCAAUCUGCCCUUGACUCUGGGAUAACUGCGGGAAACUGUAGCUAAUACCGGAUACGACACCUUGGGGCAUCCCAGGGUGUGGAAAGAAUUUCGGUCAAGGAUGAGCUCGCGGCCUAUCAGCUAGUUGGUGAGGUAAUGGCUCACCAAGGCGACGACGGGUAGCCGGCCUGAGAGGGUGACCGGCCACACUGGAACUGAGACACGGUCCAGACUCCUACGGGAGGCAGCAGUGGGGAAUAUUGCACAAUGGGCGAGAGCCUGAUGCAGCAACGCCGCGUGAGGGAUGAAGGCCUUCGGGUUGUAAACCUCUUUUAGCAGGGAAGAAGCGAAAGUGACGGUACCUGCAGAAAAAGCACCGGCUAACUACGUGCCAGCAGCCGCGGUAAUACGUAGGGUGCAAGCGUUGUCCGGAAUUAUUGGGCGUAAAGAGCUCGUAGGCGGUUUGUCGCGUCUGCUGUGAAAAUCCGAGGCUCAACCUCGGACCUGCAGUGGGUACGGGCAAGCUAGAGUGCGGUAGGGGAGAUGGGAACUCCUGGUGUAGCGGUGGAAUGCGCAGAUAUCAGGAGGAACACCAAUGGCGAAGGCACAUCUCUGGGCCGUAACUGACGCUGAGGAGCGAAAGCGUGGGGAGCGAACAGGAUUAGAUACCCUGGUAGUCCACGCCCUAAACGUUGAUUACUCGCUGUUGGCGAUAUACUGUCAGUGGCUAAGCGAAAGCGUUAAGUAAUCCACCUGGGAAGUACGACCGCAAGGUUGAAACUCAAAGGAAUUGACGGGGGCCCGCACAAGCGGAGGAGCAUGUGGUUUAAUUCGAUGAUACGCGAGAAACCUUACCUGGGCUUAAAUGUCAGGUGACCGCUGCCGAAAGGUGGCUUC
rnacentral:rRNA from 1 species